rnacentral:rRNA from 1 species
CCUACGGGAGGCAGCAGUGAGGAAUAUUUGUCAAUGGGCGAGAGCCUGAACCAGCCACGUCGCGUGAGGGAGUACUGCCCUAUGGGUUGUAAACCUCUUUUGUCGGGGAGCAAAAGCCGGACGUGUCCGGCUGUGAGAGUACCCGAAGAAAAAGCAUCGGCAAAAUCCGUGCCAGCAGCCGCGGUAAUACGGAGGAUGCGAGCGGUAUCCGGAUUUAUUGGGUUUAAGGGGUGCGUAGGCGGUCCGUUAAGUCAGCGGUAAAAUUGCGGGGCUCAACCCCGUCGAGCCGUUGAAACUGGCAGACUUGAGUGGGCGAGAAGUACGCGGAAUGCGCGGUGUAGCGGUGAAAUGCAUAGAUAUCGCGAAGAACUCCGAUGGCGAAGGCAGCGUACCGGCGCCAGACUGACGCUGAGGCACGAAAGCGUGGGGAGCGAACAGGAUUAGAUACCCGGGUAGUC